CACUCUGCCUCCAUUUGCUUUUAUAGACAUGACUUCAAGGCAUGACCUCAGUGGUAGCACUUGUCAGUUGGGAGCUCAGAUAGCCUUGGGCUGGAAGCAGGCUCAGCCUUGCUCCUGCUUCCCCUCCUUGCCCCAACUCUGAUCUGCCCAGUGCUUUGUAUCAUAGCCUCGAUGUCGAGGGAUACUUUGUGCUGCUGAUUGUCUCACUUCUACAAGGAAAGAAUCAGGGCACUUGGCACCUGAUAGCGAGACCUCCUUUCACUAUUUACUCAUGUACAGGAGGCAUGGGAAUGAAAUGAGGAUAAGAGAUGCUGACACCAUGUUUCAUCCUGCACAGGCAACACUGCUGCUGGUGGAGUUGAUUGCAAUCCACUGGGAAAUACUUGGCGCUCUGGUAGCUCCAGAAACCAGGAGACAACCUAAUUACUUCUUGCAUUCUGCACAUAAAUUAUUGCUCCCAAACAUUUAAAGGAGACAGGAAGGGAUGCUGGGAAAGGUGCUAAAGGAACCGUUCUUCAUCCACAGUGGGCAUGUGCAUGAUCAGAAAUGGAAGGACUGAUGCUGCAAUGUCACCAGUGGUUGUCACGAGGAAGCUUCUUGGCCUCUGAGUGCGUCCCAGCUUGUUGAGGUCACUCCUGCAAGAUGGGGUGGCAAUAGGAAUGACUGGGAUUAAAUUCACUUUGGAAUGAAAAGAUCUCCUUGACUCAAGAGGAUCUGAAGUGUAGAGGGGUUUGCUCGUCUUAGGGUUUCUUGAGAUGGACCCGACUUUCAUCUUUUCACUUAACAUAUUGCCCCCACUGAACACACAUACACAAAGAUCCUCUCCUGCAUUAAACUGAAUGAUCACAUCCAGCUACCUGAAAAGCUGCCUUGCAAAAAAUCCCUUGCCGAGCAUAAAAUAAAACCAGAGGACCCCUUCUCGCCUUCAUUCUUAGAGGAAAAGAUUCAGAAACAACAGGAUUUAUGGAAAUUCCUUAGAAGAAGAUGAGAGUUUGAGCUUCAUCUUCCUUAAAUAGCCCUCUGUGAGGCUUAAGAAAGCUUUUCGCACAUGCUGAGCUUUCAGAGCCAUGGGCCAGGUUCCCCCCAAGGCACUGAUCUUGCACAGCUCAGUAAAAUGCAGAGGUUGGCUAAAUCUGAGCUCCAAAUCGCAUCACUAACACGGAUGCACCGCAUCCAAAACAGCGUGUCCAGCACUGACCCACCACAUCUGUCACACUGACCUUCACCCACCAGGUCACUUGUCAGCAGCUCCACAUUCCCAGCUGGUGCCGUGCUGGAGGAUGGAAAUGAGCCUGUUUGAGCUGACGGGAGCUCAGCAGAAACUCAUCAGCAGAUGAGCAAAGUUUACAGCUCAGAUGAAAGGCUUUAGAACUUGUCUCGGGGAGGUUCGGGGCCCUUUGUGCCCUGUUGAUGGAAUUCCAUCACCUUGUAACUGUGACAGGUUAUAAUCAAGCUGCCCGAUUUGAAUCUUGUCCAUAGCUAGGAGUUUUAAUUUGAUAUUCAUCAUUUGCUCCAUCUGGAUCAUGAAUGCCUGCUAAAAGGAAAGCCUCCCUGACCUGCUUCCUCUGGGCAACGGGCUAACUUCCUCGUGCAGCCAGCCAGCAAUUGAGGUGUUUCAGUGUUGGUACCCAAGAGAUGGAUGUUAAGGGCAAGUGGUUCAUCAGAAAGGCUUUUUACUCUUUGCUGGACUACCUAAGAGGAAAAGGCAUUAAACAUCCAGGCUAAUCACCUGUGUGAUAGCACUCCACAUUGUGAGUUUCAUGUGGCUCCUGAUGGAGAAAUUAUCACUGUAGGACCUAAAAAAGGGUCAGUUGUGCUCAGUAGGCAGGACUGUGUCCUGAGAGAUCCUUCAGCUGGAGCACAAAGGCCUCCAGCAAAAGAAGUAAGACUAUUCAACCAGAAGGUGUGCUUCAAACACUUCAUCAGGGUCACAGAGCAAAGGUAAGCCUUCUGUCUGGAAGU